ACGAACGCUGGCGGCGUGCUUAACACCUGCAAGUCGAACGGAAAGGCCCCUUUGGGGGUACUCGAGUGGCGAACGGGUGAGUAACACGUGAGUAACCUGCCCUUGACUUCGGGAUAACUUCAGGAAACUGGGGCUAAUAACGGAUAGGAAUCCUUGCUGCAUGGUGGGGGUUGGAAAGCUUCGGCGGUUUUGGAUGGACUCGCGGCUUAUCAGCUUGUUGGUGGGGUAGUGGCUUACCAAGGCUUUGACGGGUAGCCGGCCUGAGAGGGCGACCGGCCACAUUGGGACUGAGAUACGGCCCAGACUCCUACGGGAGGCAGCAGUGGGGAAUAUUGCACAAUGGGCGGAAGCCUGAUGCAGCAACGCCGCGUGCGGGAUGACGGCCUUCGGGUUGUAAACCGCUUUCAGCAGGGGCGAAGCUUGUGGUGACGGUACCUGCAGAAGAAGCACCGGCUAACUACGUG
rnacentral:rRNA from 1 species